rnacentral:lncRNA from 1 species
GUUUGCUCUACAUCAAGAAUCGACUGCCCAUUGCCUCAGUUUAAUACACAAUCUCGAACUGAGCUUGCUUGCUUGCUCUUAAUGAAUGGUGAGCGGGGCACUUGUAUCCCUAAAAAAAACAUAAUGACAUGGCUCAUACGAGUGGUAAAUUGGAAAUCUCAAGAAGACUUUUUUCUUUUCAUGGAUUUAACAAUCAAUUUGCAUGUAGGGAAGAAAAACAACGAUCAAAAGAAUUAAUAAUGACUUACCAUAAUUAAAUGACCACAAACUCGAAAACAUGGAGACUUCAUCUCCUUCUCUUCUUGCUUCUUCCCAAUUGUCCUGAUUUAAAUGCAUGUUAUUGUUCUUGGAGAAAAGCUUUAGCUUGUCCAUAUUUUUCAGCUCUUUCUUCUGCCAGUCGUGCCUUGUCCUUUUCUUUAACAUCCAAACAAGAAGUAAUUAUCUUUCUUCAAUUCACGGGCAGCACUUUUAGCUUCCUGUCUUAAAAGCUUCUUUAACUUUUUCCUUUGAGCUUGCUCGCGAUCUAGAUCAUAAUCUCUUUGCUUUACAAAGCUGUUUUGAAUAACUAAUCAUGGAAAAAUGAAGUCAGCAGAUGAAAUUAAGUGGCAGAAUUUGAUGUAAAUGAGCAAAUGCAGUUGAAUGUUGGAAUUGCUUUUCUUCGAACUUUGGAACUUCAGUUUUAAUAAUCUUUGGCUUUCGCACUCGUAGUGGUUGUCGCAGCAAGUUGUAUUCCUGUGAUUUCUUCUCAAUAAGUUGGGCAACGUCUUUGAUUUGAACUAGUAAUGCAUCUGGUAGGUGACCUUGUUUUGCUAAUUCACUGAGUAAUUUUGGAACUGGCAAGAAUAUCUCUGGAAAGGAUUUAAAUCCUUCAUAAAUGUUGACAAAUCCUUUCAGUGUUUCAAUGAUAGCAAAAAGCACACUGGACCUGCAAGUAAAAGCUUAACACUCAGAAACUAACACAUCUCCCAAUGCCCAACUGAGAGUACCUUCCUUAUGGUGUUAAGGAAGUCAAAUGUUUUGGAUUAAAGAAUUUGAUGUUUUUCCAAAUAAGUGGCUGUAUAAUCUCAAGAAUCAAAGGUUUGAAAUCA